CGAUGUUUCUGCCGUGCGAGCCCUUUUUUUCUCACCGCGAAACCUACCCUCCUCUCCUUCCGUGGUCGUCAUCUCUUCCGUGAUUGCAGCAUCCAAUCCCCGCGAAAGCAUAUCCUCCUCGAUCGCUGCCUUUCCAUGCCCUUCCGUGAUUGCAGCUGGCGGACAGAGGAAGAGCUUUGCCUUCCGUGAUUGCAGCCGGCGGCCUUUCGUGAUUUCCUUCUAUAGACCAUCGUGAUUUCCUUGGUUUCCUUGAUCCAGCCCGCCGGUGGCCAGCAUGGGAGCUCCCCGCGUCCCCCCGCCUCCGCGGAGGCCGAACCGCAGCAGACGUGGUGGCGGCUUGACGGGGAGCAGCACGGGGGCGGGAUGCCGCACCGGGGACGGUGGUGCCUCUCUGUCUCUCCCAGAUCCAGCGGGCGCAGGAUGCAGUGGCGAGGAUGGCCGGCGUGGGAAGGGAUCCGGUGGGGAAGGUCGGCGAGCGGGGGAUCUGGCCGUCGGGACUGUCGGUGCGGCCGGCGGCCGCAGGAUGCGGCUACGGCCGGUGUGGACCUCCGCAGGGACACCUCUCUCUCUGUCUCUCUCUCCCGACAAUGCCGUAUCCAAACUUCGCCGCCGUGGUGGACAAGGGAAAGCUCCACCAUGGUCGACGAGGGCUAGCGCACCGAGGUCAUGGUGGGCGAGCGCCGUCGAGGUCACGGAGGAGUCGAGCGCCGGCGUGGUGGUGGAGGCCUCACAAUAAAUGCCAUGGCUGGUCCGCUGCCGACGCCGUUGCUGUUGACGGGCCACAGCUCCGCACACGAGCAGAACGUGCCAUCAUCACCAUACCAUUCUCUCUCUCUGUUUUUUUUCUUUGAGGGGAUCUCCCUCUCCAUUCGAUGUUUGUCGAUCUGAUCUGCCCAUUCUCUAUGGUUUUUUGGGUGCGGCGGCAGCGGACGAUGCCCAGCGAAGGAUACACAUAUGGAGAUGGGUCGGAUGUUCCCUAGACUCAUCUGAAUGAGCAUCGCAUGAUAAGAUUUUUGUGACCAUCGGCAAAGAUGAGUGAGCAGCUGGUGGUUCCAGAGGGGCUUCACGACCGCAUCUGCCCUAUCACCACCACGCCCCUGCAUCAGGAAGGAUCGUCCCCCUCUGCCUCCUACACGUGAAGGGAUCCCCUGAAGAUGACCUCAAUCUCCAUGUAGCUGCGUCCUCCCUGAGGUAUUCCUGCCCUCAUUUUUGGAUGUCAUGGUGCCAUGAUUUCAACAAUCUUUCUGCUACAGGCUUGCAAUUUAGAUGCUCAGUAUAUCAGCUCUAAUAUUAUAUUUAGCGGAAACAAUCGUUCUGCUUCAUUAAAUUACUUUUGGCAUUUGAACUAUAUGAAUCGUUGUAUGAUAGGUUAACUAUUCAGUUUGAGAAUUUGAGUACCUGAUUUAUAUCAUGGUUUAAAGCACCUCGUGAACUCUACCUUUAAAUUGAUAGUAUUCUGAGAUCUUCUUUUAUGCUACAAGCUAAUCAUGAUCAUAAAAUUAAUUGGCAUUGUCCGAGCGGAGAACAAGGAUCGACAGUUCUAUAGUUUUAAUCAAAUUCUGGCAGAACUUAUAUGAUAUGCUUGGAUAACAGAGUGUGAUGAUUUUUUUGGUGGUGAGUUUUGUUUGGCAGAGUUGUAAGGGUGCCUUUUCCCCCCUUUCGCAGUUCAUCCCAUUUGUUUAUUAUAAAUUUUGAUUUAUGGACCUACCUGAAUUCGAAGUUUCAGUUAGAUUAGUUUUACUUUUGCUCCCGGCAAUUUGGCCCAUCUACUUCUAAAAGAUUAACUUGGUACUUGGCAUGAUAGGAAGUUUUUUUUUCCUAAAUGGUUUUUUUUUUCAUGUUUGUUACUUUUGAGCUGUUUUCUUUUGGUUCUUAUACUUUGUGUCUGCAUGCUCAUGAGUAGGGUGGUAAUGACUGUUUGAUGCCUAGAAAUAUUAAGAACCUGGCUCAUGGCUGUCUGAUUUUGCAAAUAUCAUAUAUCCAUAUCAUGCAGAACAGGCUUGAUAGGAGCACUCCAUCUUCUGAUCGACAAAAUCUUGUGGACAUGUUUAAUGACCCUGAAAAUGCAAGAGUAAAAUUCGGGUUGAUAUCAACUCGUGCUGGAUCUCUAAGCAUUAAACAACAUGUUGCAAAUCAUGUAGUUCUAGAUGCAUCCUUGAAUCCAGCACACGAUCUGCAAGCCAUUUAUCGAUUUUAGAGGCAAGAACUUGUCACCUGAGUUGCUCAUUAGUUGCACUUGCGAUUAUUUAUUUGUUCAGUAUAUGCGAUUAUUUAUUUAUUCAGUGGUCAUAUUCUUUCCAGGUAUGGGCAGAACAAAGUUGUAUAUGCUUACUGCCUAAUGGCACAUCGAACAAUGGAAGAGAAUAUAUAAGCAGCAGAUAAUUUUGUAUUUUUCUUCUUCUUGUCUGCAGUUCUCAGUUUGAAUUAUCGAAGUUAUUCUCUUGCACUGGUAGAUAAAGGUCCAUCUUUGUUUGAAAAAAGUACUCAUCUUUUUGGAAUUUACAGGUGGAUUGCAGGUUAACAUGAACAUGAAGCCCAUCUCCAAGGUAACCAAAGGAGGUUAUCUUGAGGUUGGGGUUCAGACAUGUGGUGGUGGAUUGUGUGGUUCGACCGCGAUCUUACUAUAGCUGGUAGGGUGAUUAUAUGGGAGAAGAGGGAUGGCGGGGUCUCUUAUGCACAUAAUGAGCAGUGGAGCUAUACGGGCAUAGAUACUACAGGAUGAAGGUGUGGUUUGUUGCAGUAACACUAAGAAAUUUAUAUCCACCUGUUUACAUUAUGUACAGGACUGUCUCAGAAGAUCUCAAGAUUAACAAGAAUGAAAUGCAGAAAAUAGUGGGAGAAAAUGGCCCAAAGGAGUCAUCGGAGAAUAAGAACACGAAGCACCAUCCAUUACUAUUGCAGAUAUCUUCCUUUUUGCUGUUACAGACUUACAGUUCAACUAACUCAUAUAAGAAAUACAUAUUAACAGCCUUGGGAUAUGAAGAAAGUUCCACUGAUGUCAUUUUUUGAUGCAGUUGAUUACUAAAGAGGCUAGGGUCUGAUCGAAUCCGUAGCAUGUCCACUGUCGCACGAAGUUCGUGCUUGUGUUCACGACCAGUGUCAAGUAGGAUGGUGCAUGUGUGUGCUCGUGCCUGCAGGCCGAGUCAGGGUCAGGACACCGGUGUGGCCACGUUCCAAGUUGUGUUCAGCAUGUUUAGCGUGUGCACGUGCUGGCAUGUUAGUUACGAAGGUGCAGGGAUGGCUUAGAGGUGGCAGUUGGCGGCAGCAGCGGAGGAGCACGACGAGCCACGGGAUCAGCAUGGAAGACCAGUUCUCCCGGAGUAUGUGGCUCACGAAUGGGAGAAGGCCAGGUCCCAUAGAGUGUACGUGUGUGUGUGAAAAUCGCUGCUGAUAGUUGUGCGGGCACUACCUCACGGAGAGGCAACAUAUGGCGAUGUAAUUCUUGUGUAAGGUUGUUCAGUCCUUUCGAAGUUGAAUAGAAGCCAACAUACAGGCCGAUGAGUGGUUGGAGCGGUCAUUGCCAAAA